rnacentral:rRNA from 1 species
UACGUAGGGUGCGAGCGUUGUCCGGAAUUAUUGGGCGUAAAGGGCUCGUAGGCGGUUUGUCGCGUCGGGAGUGAAAACACCGGGCUUAACUCGGUGCUUGCUUUCGAUACGGGCAGACUAGAGGCAUGCAGGGGAGAACGGAAUUCCUGGUGUAGCGGUGAAAUGCGCAGAUAUCAGGGGGGAACACCGGUGGCGAAGGCGGUUCUCUGGGCAUGUCCUGACGCUGAGGAGCGAAAGUGUGGGGAGCGAACAGG